rnacentral:rRNA from 1 species
AGUGAACGCUGGCGGUAGGCCUAACACAUGCAAGUCGAACGGCAGCACAGUAAGAGCUUGCUCUUACGGGUGGCGAGUGGCGGACGGGUGAGGAAUACAUCGGAAUCUACUUUUUCGUGGGGGAUAACGUAGGGAAACUUACGCUAAUACCGCAUACGACCUACGGGUGAAAGCAGGGGAUCUUCGGACCUUUCGCGAUUGAAUGAGCCGAUGUCGGAUUAGCUAGUUGGCGGGGUAAAGGCCCACCAAGGCGACGAUCCGUAGCUGGUCUGAGAGGAUGAUCAGCCACACUGGAACUGAGACACGGUCCAGACUCCUACGGGAGGCAGCAGUAGGGAAUAUUGGACAAUGGGCGCAAGCCUGAUCCAGCCAUACCGCGUGAGUGAAGAAGGCCUUCGGGUUGUAAAGCCCUUUUGUUGGGAAAGAAAAGCAGCAGGUUAAUACCCCGCUGUUCUGACGGUACCCAAAGAAUAAGCACCGGCUAACUUCGUG